rnacentral:lncRNA from 12 species
UGCAAAUUCCAGAACCCACCUUCACCCCCAAGCUUGUGCUCACAGCACCCAGAUUGGGGGAGGAUCCAUCCUUACCUCUGUGCAGAAGCAAUCCGACCCAUAGAUGUUGCAGCUCCACCAGGAAUGAGGAAGUGCAGUGGUGGAAACAGGCAGAAUCUGCUGAUUCCAAUUACAGGUUGGAACUCUGAGACCCA